ACCGUGAGGGAAAGUUGCAAAGCACUUUGAAGAGAGAGUUAAAGAGGACGUGAAACCGGUAAGGUGGAAACGGAUAGAGUCGGCGUAUCAUUCAAUUAUUCAGUUACAUUAUUUUUAUGUUGUGACCUCUGAGCUCCAGAUUGGGACAGAGGGAAUCAGCAUAAUUUUUUGUGGUGCAUUUACUUGAUUGGUGCUUGGGGAUGUUUGAGGCAGAUUUGUUUCCGUCGUUUUGAGGCCAGCUUGCUGGUACCCAAACGGUGUUAGCAUUUUUUGUCUUGGGCAUUUGAGUAUGGCUCACGUGUAUUUAUUGGACAGAUCUGAGUGUAAGUUACGGUCGCAUGCGACACGUGCUUUUCAAUUAGUUCGGUCCAGUUAAUGCUCUCGUACUCGUUCCCCAUGUAAAAGCCGGUCAUCUAUCCGACCCGUCUUGAAACACGGACCAAGGAGUUUAUCGUGUGCGCAAGUUUUUGGGUGUUAAAAACUUAAAAGCGAAAUGAAAGUAAAUGACUCUUUAGAGUCUGAUGUGCGAUCUUGUAAAAAAGUGUAGCAUGGCCCCAUUCUAACUGUUUACAGUAGGGUGGCGGAAGAGCGUACGCGGUGAGACCCGAAAGAUGGUGAACUAUUCCUGAGCAGGACGAAGCCAGAGGAAACUCUGGUGGAAGUCCGAAGCGGUUCUGACGUGCAAAUCGAUCGUCUGACUUGGGUAUAGGG
rnacentral:rRNA from 1 species